UGCUCGCUUCGGGAGCGCGUAUACUAAAUUGGAACGAUCCGGAGAAGAUUUGCAGGAUUAGCACAGCCCCUGCGCCAGGAGGCCGUGCAAAUCCAUGAAGCGUUCCAUCGUUUU
rnacentral:snRNA from 1 species